ACUCCUACGGGAGGCAGCAGUGGGGAAUCUUGGACAAUGGGCGCAAGCCUGAUCCAGCCAUGCCGCGUGAGUGAUGAAGGCCCUAGGGUCGUAAAGCUCUUUCGCCUGUGAUGAUAAUGACAGUAGCAGGUAAAGAAACCCGGCUAACUCCGUGCCAGCAGCCGCGGUAAUACGGAGGGGGUUAGCGUUGUUCGGAAUUACUGGGCGUAAAGCGCGCGUAGGCGGACUAUUAAGUCAGAGGUGAAAUCCCGGGGCUCAACCCGGAACUGCCUUUGAUACUGGUAGUCUAGAGUUCGAGAGAGGUGAGUGGAAUUCCGAGUGUAGAGGUGAAAUUCGUAGAUAUUCGGAGGAACACCAGUGGCGAAGGCGGCUCACUGGCUCGAUACUGACGCUGAGGUGCGAAAGUGUGGGGGGCAAACAGGAUUAGAUACCCUGGUAGGA
rnacentral:rRNA from 1 species